rnacentral:tRNA from 1 species
GGGGACGUCGUAUAACCUGGCUAUUACUCUCGGCUCCAGACCGAGGUAUGAGGGUUCGAAUCCCUCCGUCCCCA